CGUGAGCAGCCCCGGUGCGGUUUCAAGUGCAGCGGGAAUCCAGGAAUGUCCAUGGAGCCGUCAACGCAGCGAACCUUCUAAGUAAGAAUAAGUUGCUUCGGUGUCAGUCAGGCUACCAAGUUAAAGUCAGUGGAAUCUUCUCCAGCAGAGGCAAGAAGGAAAGAUGUGUGAAGGUGUGUUGGAGCUCCCAGACUCACUGGAAGACCCGAGGGGUGUAUCCUAGGGCCAGUCUCCAGGAACAGCUCUCGGAGCCCUGCAGACAGGCCUGAUGGUGCGCACCUUCCACCCCUCCUGCCUCCUCCCACAGUGCAGGUCCCAGCCGGCUCUUGCCAGAAAGGCAUGUUUUCUGACCCUGGACAAGUUCAAGCUGGACUGCCAGCCUGACCUCCCAACCCUUGAAUUGAAGUGGAAAGGAAAGAAGCCAUCUGCCAAAAUGUUCCCAAGCACACACUCUCUCUCUCAAAUGAGGAAGCCAGACUUAGCUGUCCCACAAGUGCCGUCCAAAAUCCUUCCAACAAAGCUGCAAUGAAGACCCCUGAGACGCACGGGGGUCUCCAUUCCUGCCGCUGCACCCUCUAUCCACCCAGAUGGGAGACGUAGAAUCUGGACUUCAGAGGAAACAAAGGGUGGCUUCAUGCAGGAGCUGCCUCCUCAUUGAAAUGAACUCUGUCUCCAUUUGUCAUCGCCAGUCCCAGACUGCACAGUUUUUGUGACAGGGAAGGCCCUCUCAUCUUGCCUUGCCUAUCCGUCACUUGACAGCUCAUUAGCAUCUCCCCUGGAAGGGAGCCAGAGGAAGGAAGUGAUAAAAUGUCGUGAGUCAACAUGUUACUUGCCAGAAGUUCUGGUAAAAGGAGUAAGAGGAGUUUAAAGGAAAAGGAAUAUGUAGAAAACAAGAGUUUGAGAAGAUGGUGGGGAUUUCUGUUCUCCUGUUUCUCUAAACUAGAGGUAAAUCAAGAGUCAAGUCUCAUAGCUGGACCUCUCCUGAUGGAAGUUUCUGCACAGAGACUAAAUUCCCUUUCCUGGGGUCCUAGAAAAGAUAUACCCUUCAUGACUUCUACUUUGAGGUUAAACACAUUUUAGAGUUCUAGUGGGGGAAAUACAUUGUAAAAGCUGGCUGCAGGAUCCAGAUGGGCAAAGAGGAAGGCAGAAUUCUCCAUGCGGUUAGAAUGGCUUUUGUUCUGAAAAAGAAUUUACAUUAGGGGUAGUACACUUGGUCAUAAAACAGUAGGCACUUCAGUGUAGGCUGAUGAGAAGUCUCAACAAAGAAGGAUUAGAUUGUUUGCUUUGCAUAGAACAGGAUUUUCUUUAUUUUCAUUUAUUUACUUAUUUAGCAUUCCCCUUAAGUUAGGAAGACAGGGUGGAUCACAGAAAGGAAGAGACAGGUGAAGAAAUGGGUGGCAGAAGGGAAGAAAAAUGCCAGCACUGGGAGAAGGCGGGGCCAUAGAGGGAGGGAUGGCCAGAGAAGAACUGCGCACGCCAGGGAUGGCUAGGGGAUUCUAGGACAGUGAUGUCUAGCGUCCACUAAAAAAAAAAUUAUUUAUUUUGGAAAAUUUCAAGCAUACACAAAAGUAAAUGGACUAGUAGAAUGAACCUCCAUGUACCAUGCCCAACUUUAGCAAUGAACUCACAGCCAAUCUUGUUUCAUCUAGACUGCACCACCCCUCCCCCUAAUUUAUUUUGAAGGAAAUUCCAGGCAUCGUAUUUUGUUGGUAAACAUUUUAGUAUAGUGUUCAAUUUUAAGUAGUAGCCUAUUCUGGGCUGUGCUGUUGUUGGACGUUAAAUAAAAAUUCACACCAGAAGGCUCCUGGAGACAUGAAGGGUACAUCAUUCAGAGGGCAGACUAUUUGGGUUAUACAGUUGUUUGAACUUUAGCAAGUUGCUCUGUUUUGCUAGCUAAUUCUGUACACAGUUCAAAUGCAACAUUUUGCAUUGUUCAUACUAGUUUAAAGAAAACAGGAAACUUUUACAGUUUUUUUUUUCUCUGCAGAACAAUGCAUUGUUUAGGAAAAGUGAAAAUAGGUUAUUGCUGAACUCACAUAGGUAUUUCCAAAAUAAAGUCACAGGAACUCAAAUCUCCAAGACCAUUUUCUAGGCUAAAGGGUUAACCUUGCCCUUGGUGUUUCAUACGUGCUCCCUAUACUUGGUAACCCUCCUGGAUGGUUCCACCCUUUUCUAAAGGCCUGUUGUCAGCAAUUUCUAAAACAAGUCGUUUUUUUUUAAUGCGAUUUUUUUUUCCAAAAUGAAAAUCUAUAAUAAAUCUUCUUUUCCCCACCCCGUGAGUUUUUCUGACACCCAUGAAGAAUUUUUCUUUCAAAGUCCUGUCUUCUUAGCUCCUCCUUUGACAUCUGCCUUCCAGGGAAGGCAACACCCUGUAGAGCUCAUAAUCUUGCCAGUUUAAGUCUUUUAAAUGCUUUUUAUUUAAAUCACCGAUAAAAUCUUUGCUCACUCAGCACUGUAAGCCGUCUUCUGCUCUGAGAAUUAAGGUUUGUGUACUUGUGAAUGAUCCAAUAAUGCUUCUGUAGCCUCUGAAGUUCAAGGGCCCCACAAAAAAAAAAAAGAUAAUCCUCUCAUCCAGUCCUGUUUCUCAGACUUGCCCACGUAUCAGAAUACCUGGAGGGCUUGUCUGGACAGACUGCUGGAGUCAUACUGAUUCAGAUGGUCGGGGGUGCGCCUGAGAAUGUGCAUUUAUAGUUUAUGAUGAAAGUGACCUAGUCUUGACUUCUAGAAGAUUGCAGUCUGAUGGAUGAAUCCCUCCUUUCACUAGAGGGUGAAAUCCCUUCUUUCACUGGGUAGUGGCACUAUAGAAUUUGAAGAUUGCUCUCAUAUUUAAUAGAUUUUUAAAAACACUAAAGCUCACCACAAUCCUUGGAGGGAAGUAGGUUCCAGAUUUAGGAUCAGGAAACCUGCAUUUGAAUUUCAACGCUGCCAAAUGUUAUUAGCGCUGUGAUACUGGACGUAUUACUUACACUCUCAGAGCUUGAGUUAUCUGCACGAAGAAUAAAAACCUCCCAGGUAGAUAAUGGCCCCUUGUGAAAGUGCUUCCUGAGCUGCAAAGUGCUAUACGAAUAACUAACAUUAGGAAAAAAACAGCCAGUGGUCAGUGUCAGAGAGGGCGUCACAGUAUUACGGGAACACAGAAGAGGCAGUGCACUGCCGGCAUGAGGGAGAGCUGGAUGGGGUUGGCUUUGCGAAAAAGGGUUUCAUACGCUUA